GCAAGUCGAACGAGAUGGUCCAAUGAAGAUGGAGAGCUUGCUCAAAAUUGGAUUUGGGUUGCCAUCUAGUGGUAGACGGGUGAGUAACACGUGGGUAAUCUACCUCAGAGACUGGGAUAACGGCUAGAAAUGGUCGCUAAUACCGGAUGAUUCAUAAUUAGAUAACUAGUUAUGCUAAAAGGGGCUUCGGCCUCACUUUGAGAUGAGCUUGCGGUGUAUUAGCUAGUUGGUGGGGUAAUGGCCUACCAAGGCAACGAUGCAUAUCCGAGCUGAGAGGCUGAUCGGACACAUUGGAACUGAGACACGGUCCAGACUCCUACGGGAGACAGCAGUUAGGAAUAUUCGUCAAUGGGGGAAACCCUGAACGAGCAAUGCCGCGUGAGUGAUGAAGGCCCUAUGGGUCGUAAAACUCUGUUGCGAAGGAAGAACACUUAAGAUAGGUAAUGAUCUUGAGUUGACGGUACUUCGCCAGAAAGCCCCGGCUAACUACGUGCCAGCAGCAGC
rnacentral:rRNA from 1 species